CCCCUAGAUGUUCUGGGCCGCACGCGCGCUACACUGACCAGUGCAACAAGCAUCCGUCCUUGGCCGACAGGCCCGGGCAAUCUUUGAACGCUGGUCGUGAUGGGGAUAGACUUUUGCAAUUUUUGGUCUUCAACGAGGAAUUCCUAGUAAACGCAAGUCAUCAACUUGCAUUGAUUACGUCCCUGCCCUUUGUACACACCGCCCGUCGCACCUACCGAUUGAAUGGUCCGGUGAAGCCUCCGGAUUGGCGCGCACCUCGGUGCCGCCGAGAAGUUGGCUAAACCUUACCAUUUAGAGGAAGGUGANGUCGUAACA
rnacentral:rRNA from 1 species